GAAAUGCGAUAAGUAAUGUGAAUUGCAGAAUUCAGUGAAUCAUCGAAUCUUUGAACGCACAUUGCGCCCGCCAGUAUUCUGGCGGGCAUGCCUGUUCGAGCGUCAUUUCAACCAUCAAGCCCCGCGCUUGUGUUGGGGACCUGCGGCUGCCGCAGGCCCUGAAAACCAGUGGCGGGCUCGCUGUCACACCGGGCGUAGUAGAUUUUAUCUCGCUCAGGGCGUGCUGCGGGUUCCGGCCGUUAAAAAGCCUUUUUUACCCAAGGUUGACCUCGGAUCAGGUAGAAAGACCCGCUGAACUUAAGC
rnacentral:misc_RNA from 1 species